GACGAACGCUGGCGGCGUGCUUAACACAUGCAAGUCGAACGGAAAGGCCCUGCUUUUGUGGGGUGCUCGAGUGGCGAACGGGUGAGUAACACGUGAGUAACCUGCCCUUGACUUUGGGAUAACUUCAGGAAACUGGGGCUAAUACCGGAUAGGAGCUCCUGCUGCAUGGUGGGGGUUGGAAAGUUUCGGCGGUUGGGGAUGGACUCGCGGCUUAUCAGCUUGUUGGUGGGGUAGUGGCUUACCAAGGCUUUGACGGGUAGCCGGCCUGAGAGGGUGACCGGCCACAUUGGGACUGAGAUACGGCCCAGACUCCUAAUGGAGGCAGCAGUGGGGAAUAUUGCACAAUGGGCGGAAGCCUGAUGCAGCAACGCCGCGUGCGGGAUGACGGCCUUCGGAUUGUAAACCGCUUUCGCCUGUGACGAAGCGUGAGUGACGGUAAUGGGUAAAGAAGCACCGGCUAACUACGUG
rnacentral:rRNA from 1 species